GAUGAACGCUAGCUACAGGCUUAACACAUGCAAGUCGAGGGGAAACGAUAUUGGAAGCUUGCUUCCGAUAGGCGUCGACCGGCGCACGGGUGAGUAACGCGUAUCCAACCUGCCCACCACUUGGGAAUAACCUUGCGAAAGUAAGACUAAUGCCCAAUGAUAUCUCUAGAAGACAUCUGAAGGAGAUUAAAGAUUUAUCGGUGAUGGAUGGGGAUGCGUCUGAUUAGCUUGUUGGCGGGGUAACGGCCCACCAAGGGGACGAUCAGUAGGGGUUCUGAGAGGAAGGUCCCCCACAUUGGAACUGAGACACGGUCCAAACUCCUACGGGAGGCAGCAGUGAGGAAUAUUGGUCAAUGGGCGAGAGCCUGAACCAGCCAAGUAGCGUGCAGGAUGACGGCCCUAUGGGUUGUAAACUGCUUUUAUAAGGGAAUAAAGUUAGUCUCGUGAGACUUUUUGCAUGUACCUUAUGAAUAAGGACCGGCUAAUUCCGUGCCAGCAGCCGCGGUAA
rnacentral:rRNA from 1 species